rnacentral:lncRNA from 1 species
GCUGACUGGUUCUAUUAUAUAGAAGGGACUGAUCCAUUUGGCUCUCCUUACUCCUGAGGCAUUACUUAAACCUGAUACAUUGAAACAAGACAAGUGAACACAAGCAAAAACAUCAUAGAGUAAGAGUCUUAUCCCAAAGUUGUAUUUUAUCGGUUUUGGCUUGUAUGCUGCAUCUGGAGGUUCUUCUUUGAUGAGGAUGAAGCAAGUGACGUCCUGUUGCCUCUCCUGGUUUAGAUCAGGCGGCUUGAAACGUUUGUCUUCCUCACGCUUGUUCUUUGUCUUUGCAUGCUUCAAAGCUUCCAUAUAAUCUGCACAUGACUCUUUUGACAAAAACAAGUGCAUCAUAUCUGUGUAAUCAAUAAAAGAACUCUUGAAAACAUGAUUGGUUACCUUAGCAUGCUCACCUGGUCGCCAUAUAUAGGAUUGAGAUGUUCUAUACUCAGAAAAAUUCAAACAAAGCAAACACAGAAUCACCCGUCUUGUAGAACCCAUAACUCUUUUAUUUGAGAAGCUUUGGUCAUGAUUCCAGUUCGACGUGAGACCCUGAUGAGUGUAGUUUCCAUUGCAGUUGAGUUUGUUGCUUAAUUCCUUCUGGUUGCUGAGAUAUGAUCCUCGGACUGCUCCUAUGUCAAAGUUGGCGGCUAGACAGCUUCCAAGAUUUGAUUGUUGCAUCUCCAAUUUAGCCAAGGAUCCAUUCUUGAUACUCUGAUCAUUACUAUAGCCUCGGGUUGGUUUAUUUGGAGAUUGAUGUAGACUGAGUCCAUCUGGUGGUUUCUCCUUGAUUUGAGAAGAAAACAUGAGUUCUCCUCCUAUUCCAGUAAUCACUUCACCAUUUAAUCUAGUGAAAUCUCCAUCUCCACUCUUGGUUUGACAAUCUCUGAAAUGGUAUUGAAGCUUUUGCAAAUCUGGUGGCUUCCACACCUUGACAUGAUCAAGAAGCAAGGCAUUUUGAUCAGCUUCCAACUCUUUAUUGCCCCAACUGGUUCUACUACGAGCAGAGCACUCUCCAAGGAUGAUAAGUAUGCUGGAAUAUGCUCCAGUUUUCCACAAGUAGAACUGUAACCUUCCACCCCAAUCUGAUAUAAGCAGCUCACAGAAUUUGGCUAAACCGAAAUGUUUGGCGGAAUUGACAAUAUCUUGAUGAUCAGGAGGCCAUUUGCUGCGUUUUCUGGUUUGUUGGAUCCAGGAGAGAGUGGGUAACAUUCUCCAAUUGGUUUCGUAGUGAAACUCUUGCUGAGCUGAGACGUGCAUCCCUUUAGCUUCAGAGGGUAAAAGAUCACCAAAAACAAUUGUUGUUGCUGCCGAUUUCUUCUCAAUCACUAUGGGAUUGUUCCUGUGAUUCCACAACUCUCCUCCAGGCUCAAAUACAACAUGUUCCAUGCCCAGUUGGUGUCUUGAAAGCUCUACUGCUCUGGUCUUGUUCCACACAAAAGGACUGAUGAGAAAAGUACCCAAGAAUGUCCUUUGGAAACCGUUUGAAUCAGUGACAAAUAGAUGCUCUACUCCACUGUCUGAUUUUGAUUCCAUGGGUGCCUCCUCUUCUAUUACAUCCUGUUUGAAGAGAAUCAGGUCGUCCUUGAUGGGUUGAUCAUCUUUCUGAAUGGUGAUUGUUGGAAUCUCGGUUUGAUCUUCUUGAACUAGUGCAGCCAAGUCUGAUUGUGCAACUGAGUCUGGUUCUGCAUCUUUGAGUUCUGAGACAGUUGAGGAAAGCGCUUGGUUCUGUACUUCUAAGGAUGGAGAUAUAGUCUUGGACUGUUUAAGUUGUUUCUCCACAUCCCUAAACGCUUGUGAAAUUGCCUUCCUUAUGCUAUCUUCAAAGGAAUGGGUUGAUGUUUUGCUUGAUGAAACCAGGUUACUAGAUGGACUUGAUCUCUUACUGUCUGGUUGUUUCUGAACUGAUAAUGAAGAACAUAGAUAUGUCUCAGGCUGCUUUUGAAUAACUUCCUUGUGGUACUGUCUUGGAACGUACUCUCUACGCAUCAAAGCCCUCAGCUUAAGCCAUGUUUCCACUGGUUCUUUUCCAUCAAGUCUUCUGCACUUUAUCAACUGAUUCCACCAUCUUAAAGCAUGACCACAAAACUCAGCAGUAGCCAUUUGAAUCUUCUUUCUUUCAGCAUAGUGUUGACUACUGAAAAUCAACUCAAUCUUCUUUUCCCACUUCACAUAAGCUUCAGGAGCCGCCUUGCCAUGGAAUGGAGGGAUUUGAAAUUCAUAUACAGCAUGCUUCCGGUUCCUGUCAAACUGAUCAAACUCUUUUUGCUUGUACUCAUCGCUGGUUGAUCUUGAGCAUUCUCUAUUUUUCUUUGGAUGAUGUUUUCCUUUGUGCUCCUUCUCCAUUGGUACCUGAGACACAAAUAAAACAGAAACCAGUAACUAGUUCUAAGAGAAACAACACUCAGAAUUAACAACAGAUCAAUUUUAAAACGACAAGCAAAUCAAAUAAAACAGUUUGAUAAUCAGAACAAUUCACCAACGCAAUAUGAUCGAUCAAUCUUAAACAGAGACAGAUUAAAUUCGAAAUCUAAUCAACCAAACAAGAUAGAUUAUAUUCAAAGCAAUAAGAACAGAUCGGAAUCACACAAAUCCAAAACAGAAACAGAUCAAGCAAAUCGAUUACUUCUGCAACAAGAAUGUGAAAAGUUUUUUUAUCAAUAACGAGAUCAACAAGCUUGAAUCUAAUUAAAACUCAACAACACAAUCAUAGAUCAAUCAAAACUAGUGAGAAUAAGAAUAGAUCGACAGGUUUUUAGCAAAAACAAACGGAUUUAUCAGAUUUAAACGCCAAGAACACAGAUCAGAUCAAACUCGACAGAAUAUGAACAGACCCAAACGAAAAUCAGAGAGAAAAAUCAAACACUUCCCUUCCAGAGUUGCUCUGAUACCACUUGAUGAGAUCCUAGGAUGAUGCUCUGGAACAGAUGGGAUAAUCCUUGCAGAAACGAAUCAAAAGACUCAAGCUUCUCAAGGUAUGUGGAUCGAAUGGUGACACAAGAGGCUGCGGAAAUGCUUCUUGAUACUCCUAGGCUUAGAUCGGAUAUGACACACCUCUCUAAAGCCCUUGGGCGUUGGAUAUUACACACCAACAGACUGGAUAUUACACACCAGACACACUUCAACUCGUCCAAGACAAGAGAGAAGAGAGAAAAGGGUUUUUGAUAAAAGAUUGCUUAAUCAUAAAAGAAGAUGGCUACAAGCUUAUAUAGAGAAGGCUGGAACAGGCUCCACUUCUCGAAUUCAUUAAAGGGAACAGGCUCCCUUGGUAAUCUAAAAACAAGACUAAGACUUAUUCAAAUUUUAAAAGAGUUUCGAAAACUAAAUAACAUAUAAGCAUAGCUUAAAAUAUAAGAUAAGGUCUUCAUGUGGACAGACCAAGAUCAAUCAUCUAGGAGAUAGGAGAAGUAGACUUGUGGCCUCGUUAAAAACCUUCCUUUGGAAAACCUAGUGGGACAAAACCAAAGGUUAGGAAAAGAGCACACACAAGCUACUUGCCUAGAUGAUGAUCAGCUUGAAGGUGGAGUAGCUUGAAUGAUGGUUAAGGUGUCUUGGAUGAUCAAGCUUCGGCCAAGACUAAUAUAUUCUUCUUGUUUCCAAAUGUUCUUCAAGGUUGCAUCCUCAGCUACAAGCUCUUCAGGUUCAGGUUCAUGCUUCCAGCCCUUGGUGCUUUCCAUGAUCAUAUCAUCCCCUCCCACUUCAAAAAGAUUUGUCCUCAAAUCUGUGUUACCUGCAAUAGAAGGGACCAAGUCAGUAACAUCAGAGUUUAUAAUCAGAUUACACUUACCUUGCAAGCCUCUUUGAUAGGCAUUAUCGCUGACUGGUUCUAUUAUAUAGAAGGGACUGAUCCAUUUGGCUCUCCUUACUCCUGAGGCAUUACUUAAACCUGAUACAUUGAAACAAGACAAGUGAACACAAGCAAAAACAUCAUAGAGUAAGAGUCUUAUCCCAAAGUUGUAUUUUAUCGGUUUUGGCUUGUAUGCUGCAUCUGGAGGUUCUUCUUUGAUGAGGAUGAAGCAAGUGACGUCCUGUUGCCUCUCCUGGUUUAGAUCAGGCGGCUUGAAACGUUUGUCUUCCUCACGCUUGUUCUUUGUCUUUGCAUGCUUCAAAGCUUCCAUAUAAUCUGCACAUGACUCUUUUGACAAAAACAAGUGCAUCAUAUCUGUGUAAUCAAUAAAAGAACUCUUGAAAACAUGAUUGGUUACCUUAGCAUGCUCACCUGGUCGCCAUAUAUAGGAUUGAGAUGUUCUAUACUCAGAAAAAUUCAAACAAAGCAAACACAGAAUCACCCGUCUUGUAGAACCCAUAACUCUUUUAUUUGAGAAGCUUUGGUCAUGAUUCCAGUUCGACGUGAGACCCUGAUGAGUGUAGUUUCCAUUGCAGUUGAGUUUGUUGCUUAAUUCCUUCUGGUUGCUGAGAUAUGAUCCUCGGACUGCUCCUAUGUCAAAGUUGGCGGCUAGACAGCUUCCAAGAUUUGAUUGUUGCAUCUCCAAUUUAGCCAAGGAUCCAUUCUUGAUACUCUGAUCAUUACUAUAGCCUCGGGUUGGUUUAUUUGGAGAUUGAUGUAGACUGAGUCCAUCUGGUGGUUUCUCCUUGAUUUGAGAAGAAAACAUGAGUUCUCCUCCUAUUCCAGUAAUCACUUCACCAUUUAAUCUAGUGAAAUCUCCAUCUCCACUCUUGGUUUGACAAUCUCUGAAAUGGUAUUGAAGCUUUUGCAAAUCUGGUGGCUUCCACACCUUGACAUGAUCAAGAAGCAAGGCAUUUUGAUCAGCUUCCAACUCUUUAUUGCCCCAACUGGUUCUACUACGAGCAGAGCACUCUCCAAGGAUGAUAAGUAUGCUGGAAUAUGCUCCAGUUUUCCACAAGUAGAACUGUAACCUUCCACCCCAAUCUGAUAUAAGCAGCUCACAGAAUUUGGCUAAACCGAAAUGUUUGGCGGAAUUGACAAUAUCUUGAUGAUCAGGAGGCCAUUUGCUGCGUUUUCUGGUUUGUUGGAUCCAGGAAAUAGUGGGUAACAUUCUCCAAUUGGUUUCGUAGUGAAACUCUUGCUGAGCUGAGACGUGCAUCCCUUUAGCUUCAGAGGGUAAAAGAUCACCAAAAACAAUUGUUGUUGCUGCCGAUUUCUUCUCAAUCACUAUGGGAUUGUUCCUGUGAUUCCACAACUCUCCUCCAGGCUCAAAUACAACAUGUUCCAUGCCCAGUUGGUGUCUUGAAAGCUCUACUGCUCUGGUCUUGUUCCACACAAAAGGACUGAUGAGAAAAGUACCCAAGAAUGUCCUUUGGAAACCGUUUGAAUCAGUGACAAAUAGAUGCUCUACUCCACUGUCUGAUUUUGAUUCCAUGGGUGCCUCCUCUUCUAUUACAUCCUGUUUGAAGAGAAUCAGGUCGUCCUUGAUGGGUUGAUCAUCUUUCUGAAUGGUGAUUGUUGGAAUCUCGGUUUGAUCUUCUUGAACUAGUGCAGCCAAGUCUGAUUGUGCAACUGAGUCUGGUUCUGCAUCUUUGAGUUCUGAGACAGUUGAGGAAAGCGCUUGGUUCUGUACUUCUAAGGAUGGAGAUAUAGUCUUGGACUGUUUAAGUUGUUUCUCCACAUCCCUAAACGCUUGUGAAAUUGCCUUCCUUAUGCUAUCUUCAAAGGAAUGGGUUGAUGUUUUGCUUGAUGAAACCAGGUUACUAGAUGGACUUGAUCUCUUACUGUCUGGUUGUUUCUGAACUGAUAAUGAAGAACAUAGAUAUGUCUCAGGCUGCUUUUGAAUAACUUCCUUGUGGUACUGUCUUGGAACGUACUCUCUACGCAUCAAAGCCCUCAGCUUAAGCCAUGUUUCCACUGGUUCUUUUCCAUCAAGUCUUCUGCACUUUAUCAACUGAUUCCACCAUCUUAAAGCAUGACCCAAAAACACUGAUUCCACCAUCUUAAAGCAUGACCACAAAACUCAGCAGUAGCCAUUUGAAUCUUCUUUCUUUCAGCAUAGUGUUGACUACUGAAAAUCAACUCAAUCUUCUUUUCCCACUUCACAUAAGCUUCAGGAGCCGCCUUGCCAUGGAAUGGAGGGAUUUGAAAUUCAUAUACAGCAUGCUUCCGGUUCCUGUCAAACUGAUCAAACUCUUUUUGCUUGUACUCAUCUCUGGUUGAUCUUGAGCAUUCUCUAUUUUUCUUUGGAUGAUGUUUUCCUUUGUGCUCCUUCUCCAUUGGUACCUGAGACACAAAUAAAACAGAAACCAGUAACUAGUUCUAAGAGAAACAACACUCAGAAUUAACAACAGAUCAAUUUUAAAACGACAAGCAAAUCAAAUAAAACAGUCUGAUAAUCAGAACAAUUCACCAACGCAAUAUGAUCGAUCAAUCUUAAACAGAGACAGAUUAAAUUCGAAAUCUAAUCAACCAAACAAGAUAGAUUAUAUUCAAAGCAAUAAGAACAGAUCGGAAUCACACAAAUCCAAAACAGAAACAGAUCAAGCAAAUCGAUUACUUCUGCAACAAGAAUGUGAAAAGUUUUUAUCAGAAACGAGAUCAACAAGCUUGAAUCUUAUUAAAACUCAACAACACAAUCAUAGAUCAAUCAAAACUAGUGAGAAUAAGAAUAGAUCGACAGGUUUUUAGCAAACACAAACGGAUUUAUCAGAUUUAAACGCNNNNNNNNNNNNNNNNNNNNNNNNNNNNNNNNNNNNNNNNNNNNNNNNNNNNNNNNNNNNNNNNNNNNNNNNNNNNNNNNNNNNNNNNNNNNNNNNNNNNNNNNNNNNNNNNNNNNNNNNNNNNNNNNNNNNNNNNNNNNNNNNNNNNNNNNNNNNNNNNNNNNNNNNNNNNNNNNNNNNNNNNNNNNNNNNNNNNNNNNNNNNNNNNNNNNNNNNNNNNNNNNNNNNNNNNUCCUUGGUGCUUUCCAUGAUCACAUCAUCCCCUCCCACUUCAAAAAGAUUUGUCCUCAAAUCUGUGUUACCUGCAAUAGAAGGGACCAAGUCAGUAACAUCAGAGUUUAUAAUCAGAUUACACUUACCUUGCAAGCCUCUUUGAUAGGCAUUGUCGCUGACUGGUUCUAUUAGGUAGAAGGGACUGAUCCAUUUGGCUUUCCUCACUCCUGAGGCAUUACUUAAACCUGAUACUUUGAAACAAGACAAGUUAACACAAGCAAAAUCAUCAUAGAGCAAGAUUCUUAUCCCAAAGUUAUAUUUUCUCGGUUUUGGCUUGUAUGUUGCAUCUGGAGGUGCUUCUUUGAUGAGGAUGAAGCAAGUGACGUCCUGAUGUCUCUCCUGGCUUAGAUCAGGCGGCUUGAAACGUUUGUCUUCCUCACGCUUGUUCUUUGUCUUUGCAUGCUUCAAAGCUUCCAUAUAAUCUGCACAUGACUCUUUUGACAAAAACAAGUGCAUCAUAUCUGUGUAAUCAAUAAAGGAACUCUUGAAAACAUGAUUGGUUACCUUAGCAUGCUCACCUGGUCGCCAUAUAUAGGAUUGAGAUGUUCUAUACUCAGAAAAAUUCAAACAAAGCAAACACAGAAUCACCCGUCUUGUAGAACCCAUAACUCUUUCAUUUGAGUAGCUUUGGACAUGAUUCCAGUUCGACGUGAGACCCUGAUGAGUGUAGUUUCCAUUGCAGUUGAGUUUGAUGCUUAAUUCCUUCUGGUUGCUGAGAUAUGAUCCUCGGACUGCUCCUAUGUCAAGGUUGACGGCUAGACAGCUUCCAAGAUUUGAUUGUUGCAUCUCCAACUUAGCCAAG